UGACGUUCCUUCGGGUCGGGGUUGGA
rnacentral:piRNA from 1 species